rnacentral:rRNA from 1 species
UACGGAGGAUGCAAGCGUUAUCCGGAAUGAUUGGGCGUAAAGCGUCCGUAGGUGGCGAUUCAAGUCUGCUGUUAAAGCGCAGGGCUUAACCCUGUAAAGGCGGUGGAAACUGGAGAGCUAGAGUGUGGUAGGGGUAGAGGGAAUUCCCGGUGUAGCGGUGAAAUGCGUAGAGAUCGGGAAGAACUCCAGUGGCGAAAGCGCUCUACUGGGCCACAACUGACACUGAUGGACGAAAGCUAGGGGAGCGAAUGGG